ensembl:lncRNA
CUCGAAAUUGUGAGUGGCUUACUUUAGUUAACCUUAGGUUAGGAUUUUUUUCCUUCUUUUUUUUUUUUCCCUAGGAAGGACUUUUUCUGACCGAAAGUAAAUUGAAAAGUCUAACCAGUCAAUUGUUUUCCAGCCUUGAUGAUGUGGAAUUUUGCUAAUAUUAAGAUUACUUCUUUACUUUGAUCUUUUGUUGGUCUAGUGCUUAUUGAAGCCCCUUUAGAUGGGGCCCUGAAAUUCUCAAGAGGUUGUUGUCCUCAGUAAACAGUACCAGGGCUGUGGCAUUCCUGUUGAGCUUGGUUUAUAGCUCAUGCUUUUCUGCAUGGUUCUUUUUUCUCUACAGACAGCUCUUUGUCGGAAGAGUUUUAAGUGCUGUAACUCUUCUCUCCUUUUUGCUCUCCUAAGCAUUACCGCAGAAUCAGCUAGCUUUGGUUAUUCACAUGGCGCUUAAGGAGGUGGUUGGGAAUAGAGGUGUCAGUACUUCAGUCCACGCUCCUCCACAAAUUUUCUUUCUCCUAGUUAAUGGAAAUAAUUAGCUAUUUCAUAACAUCCAAACAUUGAACACUGAAUGUGUUUAAAGUGAAUGGUAAAUUUAUAGAAAUUUGAAUGCAGUCUUAAAAGGCAAAGGAUUAUUUGGUUUUCCCAAAGAUUUUACUCAUUUACUUAGAAAAGAGUUGUUUUUCUUCUUGCUUGUAUUUCUAAGAGCAGGAAAAAGGAUUGGUCCUGAUGUCAUAAAAAAUAUGAAUGGAAAUACCAAAGUCCUUCAUUAUAUCUUAGUCUUAAUCAUUUUCAGUUUUGUAGAUUGAAUAGAGCAGUUUAUGUUCAAAUUACUCAGGGUAUUAAAAAUGAUAGGUUGUUUUCAAGUAACUUUUUAAAUAUGUGAAGCUUACUCCCUGUUCACUUGCCAGGAUUUUUCAGCACCUAGAUUCUUCUGUGUGGGAAGGAGGGAUUAUAGUAGGAGACUGGGAGAAAAUGUUACCAUUUAAUGAGAGAUACUUUUUCAGUUCUUCCCUUUUUUUUUCCCCCUCAGCUCCAUUCCCUCCCAUACUUACUGACAAGUGGUAACGUGUAAAUAGGUUCCAUGGUUGGCAGGGGAGUCUAGGUAUUUCUCAGUUUACCCUUCUUUUUAUUUUUUUUUUAGGAACUGAGAAACUUAAGUAGCCAUAAUUGUUGUUAAGUGAUUGUGCCCUUAAUGACCUCAUGAAUAUAUUUAAUAUUUGGGAAAUAGUUUUGUUAUUGUGAUUGGAAACAAUCACUGAUUUGGGGAAAAAAGAAAAGUGAUAACCAAAAUAAAAGGACAGACCUCAGUCAUAAUUAUUCUAUCACAAAUGGUGUUUCCUUUAUGUUGUUUAAUUUUUUUAAAGUGAGAUAACUUACUGAUCGUAAUGUAGAACAGAAGCCUAUUCUUGUGACCUGACUUUACUUGGGAUACUGAGCAUAAUUAACUUGAUGGAGUCAGGUAGUCUUUUCACACUCGUUGGAAAAGGGGUCAAGAAGGAGUAGA